UACGGGGGGGGCAAGCGUUGUUCGGAAUUACUGGGCGUAAAGGGCUCGUAGGUGGCCAACUAAGUCGGACGUGAAAUCCCUCGGCUUAACCGGGGAACUGCGUCCGAUACUGGUUGGCUUGAGUUUGGGAGAGGGAUGCGGAAUUCCAGGUGUAGCGGUGAAAUGCGUAGAUAUCAAGUGGAACACCAGUGGCGAAGGCGAGUCUCUGGACAUUUCCUGACGCUGAGGCACGAAAGCCGGGGGAGCAAACGGG
rnacentral:rRNA from 1 species